rnacentral:tRNA from 1 species
UGCGGGAUCGUCUAAUUAGGUAGGACACAUGCCUCUGGAGCAUGGUAUCUUGGUUCGAGUCCAAGUCCCGCAGCCA